rnacentral:rRNA from 1 species
UACGUAGGGUGCAAGCGUUGUCCGGAAUUAUUGGGCGUAAAGAGCUCGUAGGCGGUCUGUCGCGUCGGCUGUGAAAACUCGGGGCUCAACCCCGAGCCUGCAGUCGAUACGGGCAGACUAGAGUGCUGUAGGGGAGACUGGAAUUCCUGGUGUAGCGGUGAAAUGCGUAGAUAUCAGGAGGAAUCCCGGUGGUGUAGACGGCUCUCUGGACCGCCACUGACGCUGAGACACGAAAGCGUGGGUAGCAAACAGG